rnacentral:rRNA from 1 species
GACGGAGGGUGCAAGCGUUGUUCGGAAUUACUGGGCGUAAAGCGCGGGCAGGUGGCCUUUUAAGUCCUUUGUGAAAUUCCGGAGCUCAACUCCGGAUGUGCAUAGGAUACUGGAAGGCUAGAGACUGGUAGAGGCGAGCGGAAUUCCUGGUGUAGCGGUGGAAUGCGUAGAUAUCAAGAGGAACACCUGCGGCGAAGGCGGGUUGCUGGGCCGACACUGACGCUGAGGCGCGAAAGCUAGGGGAGCGAACGGG